UACGGGGGAGCAAGCGUUGUUCGGAUUUACUGGCGUAAAGGGCGCGUAGGCGGUCAGCACAAGUCAGUUGUGAAAUCUCCGGGCUUAACUCGGAAAGGUCAACUGAUACUGUGCGACUAGAGUGCAGAAGGGGCAACUGGAAUUCUCGGUGUAGCGGUGAAAUGCGUAGAUAUCGAGAGGAACACCUGCGGCGAAGGCGGGUUGCUGGGCUGACACUGACGCUGAUGACGCGAAAGCCAGGGGAGCGAACGGG
rnacentral:rRNA from 1 species